GAUACCAGUGUACAAAGGUCUGAGCCCGCGCAUGCUUGCAUGCAGAUGGGCGGAAGAACUUGGUGCACGCCCCGACAUGAGCAUAAAAGGGAAGCGAUAGCUUCACGAUAUGCGAAUGAUGGAAAAUUGUGAGAGUGCGAAGCACGGAACAAUUUGAUGGUG
rnacentral:sRNA from 1 species